rnacentral:rRNA from 1 species
CGUGGGUACCUGCCUCAUAGAGUGGAAUAGCCUUCCGAAAGGAAGAUUAAUACCGCAUAAUGUUGAAAGAUGGCAUCAUCAUUCAACCAAAGGAGCAAUCCGCUAUGAGAUGGACCCGCGGCGCAUUAGCUAGUUGGUGGGGUAACGGCCUACCAAGGCGACGAUGCGUAGCCGACCUGAGAGGGUGAUCGGCCACAUUGGGACUGAGACACGGCCCAG